ensembl:lncRNA
AGACCUCCAGAAUAGAAUCAAAAGCACUGUUCCCUACAGUCUGCUGUGCAGUCGUAGCUGUCGUGGCUGUGAAUACAUCAGAACGAUUGCUGCACAAUCCAUCUUUCUCUGAAUUUCCAAAAUACUAACGUGCUGCAGGAUCAUGUGAACGGGCUGAGUUCAUACAAGCAGCCAUGAUGACGUAGAGAUGUAGAACUGCUCCGGUCCUUCAUGUUGUUCAAUGUCUGCUUCUUCCAACUGCCUUUUUCUCCUGCAAAAGCCAGAAGAGGAUUGUAGUGGCAGGGGAGGUGUGCUGUUCUAGAGUUAUGCUUGCAGACUGAUGAAAGAGAACCAAGUGACAACUGAGUACUCCUCUGAAGAAACACUCCCAACCUGGAGAGGAAGAGUUGAUUUACUGAGGCAUGAAAAACUACCAAUAAAAAAACUUGUCCCCGUUUCUGCAUGACGUGGAACUAAGGAGAAUCAGGUUUUAUCUUACUACAAAACAAAAAUAAGUAAAAAUCAUUGGACAAAGACUGACAGUGAGAGGCUGCAGUUUGGGAGAAUUGUUUAUGGAACAUAUUCUUGCUGGAUUUCUUCCUGUAAAUUUCCUCCACAGUCUCUUAUGAGGAAUGAUCAGAUUUCUCUCCAUGGGACUACGCAGUAUAGCUUUGCUUUGUUUGUUACUUGAUGAUGACUUUAACAAUGCAUGCUGAUAACUGUGCAUUUCAAAGGUUCACUCCAAGAGAAACAGAGACUGAUAUUUGAGUAAUACUAGCAAAAGCCCAGAUGAGAAAUGAAUCUACUGAACUCCUUGUUGGGUGCUGAAAUAUAAAUUUUGGCAUGAUUUUCACAGGGCUGUUAUGUUCUGACCCUGAAAAAAAUGUACUCAGCAACUCUAGCAGAGAAAGGAAUAGAGAACAGCUUGCACCACUGAAAGUACCUAUUACAGCGUCAUUAGUUUGUGCAUGCAUGUUUGCCUUGGCAUCUAGCAGGAAAAAAAACUCCUAAUAGCUGCUACCAAGCAAUUCCUUGAAAAAAAUAAUCAAAACAGAUGGCGAAUCCUGAACUUUACCUGAACAGUUCAACUUAUCCAACGGAAUGGGAGACAAACUCAGCAGCAUGGUUAGAAAGUCCAUGUAUGAGGGAGGCUUGGCUGUCCUUCUGGGCAAUGUGACUGCUGUAUAUGAACCUUCUGGUGUUAAUGGUCUGAAACAUAACAUUACAAAGUGCACUUACGAGAAAAACUUGAAGUUCUUCAAUGUCUCAGCAGGGACUGGCUGUAGCACCAAGCUUUGUGUUUCCAAGCCUCAGAAGUCUGUACACCUUCAGAAUGUCUGGGCUAUUCCUCUGACGUGGAACAAAACCCUAAACUGUUUUGGUGAUGUCAGUAUCCACAUACUUUAUAAAGCUCUCCUUUGUUUGCUUUUCCUCCUAAUACAAUAAAUCACUUUGAGAACU